rnacentral:rRNA from 1 species
GUCUGCGGCCAUGCCACCCCAGACAAGCCCGAUCCCGUCUGAUCUCGGAAGCUAAGCAGGUCGGGCCUGGUUAGUCCUUGGAUGGGAGACCACCUAGGAAGACCAGGUGCUGUAGGCG